rnacentral:piRNA from 1 species
UGCAGAGGUGACCCUACCUAACUCUGU